UUAGUUCCUAUUGCAAUUCAGACAAAUGACAAUGAAUGACAUACUGACUGAAGGAUGAAUUAAAUGUUGGAAUGACGAGUUGCACACAUCAUGCAUGCUCUUUAUUUGGCUAGUAGGCAAAUAGGCCUACAUUCGGGUAUAAUGACUCUAUAGCUGCAUGCCUCCAGAAGGGCAUCACCUGUGGUUUAGUGGUGCUUUUCCAAAGGUGCAUGGUGCUGUGGUGCUGCAUGGAGAUCACAAGCUCUUCAACUGGGUAGCAGUGUCGCGAUGGAGGGAAUAGCCUAUACAGAGAUUUCCUAAAACCACUGCAACCACUGUAAAAUGUGGAAAUAAGUUCAUGCCAGAUUUAGCCUACGUUUAACCUCUCCCUUGUUCAUUCCAAAGUCCAUAUGUUCAUGACCCGAUUCAUAUAAAUCAUGUCAAAUUAUUUUAAAUUCAUAUUAAUCCCUCCUACAGAAUAUGCGUCAGCAGGAUUUUGAAUGAUUAAAUAAAUAUCAACAUGUUCAAUAAAAAAAUAGAGUGGCAAAGACUCCAGUAGUCAUACAUAAUUCCUAGAUUAACCAAACAUCUAUUAUUCUAUGUUUCAUUAUUCCUGGUAGAUACUCCUGGUUAUGAUUACAGACAGAGCCCAGAGAAUGGGAUCGUGCAAUAUUGAAUUAGUCAUAUUCUGAUAUGGUGCAUGCAUGGGGAUGUUCACUCACCCAGAGAUAUUCACAUGCUUGCAACAUAAUAUUUGUUCAAACCUAAAAUGUUAGUCUGUAAUCGUAACAUGGUGUUUGUAUGUUCACAGAUGAAAUUUCACGUUUACGUUUCAUGUUUCACACAUGACUUUCAUUAUGAUCCUAACAAUUUACGUAGGGAUUUUUCUUACUAUCCUAACGCUAUGCACAUUCAACCUUUUGGCAGGUAUCUCGCUCCAUAGUCUUGUCUCCGAGCUCGCCAGUUAAUAGUCCUAAAAACCGGAAAUGAUUUACCUCUGGUUCGUUCGGCCAUUCCUAUGGGCAAAAUUAAUGGGGAAAGAAUAGUGUUAUGGAAUAAACGCUUGAAAAUAAGGUCUGAGGUUAAUACAUGCUUAUGAGAUCUUAUACGUUUUGUUCUAUGAGAUCAUAUCAGUCAGUUAACGUGACCUUAAUGAAUUAUUAAGCAUUUUUGUAUUACAUAAAUGCUUAAAAAUUCACAAAAUGUGACAUUAGCUGACGAAGAUGAUCUCAUGGUACAAAACGUAUAAGAUCUCCUAAACCUGUCUUCUACAGACCUUAUCUUCUGCUUUUAUCCCAAAACUCUACAAAAGCUCCAUUCAUUUUCAAUAGACUUUGGCCAACAAGCCAUGGCGGAGUAUGACUGCCUUAGUGCUUACAAAAAGACGCCAUUACUAUUGCUGCCAGCCGUGGGCCUAUUGCCUACUUUCGGUUUCACAUUCACCAGGUUUUUGCGCAAGUGCAUGUGAGGAAAAUCAGGAAGUAUGUACGUCAAGCCUACUACUAGGGUGCGGUUCCGGUGGUUAGAAAACUCAGCAGCUGCAAGGCUGGAGGACCAAAUUCAUUGAAAAGGUGUCAAAGACCGUUCUAGAUCAACUGAUGGAUGACCUCUUAGAAGACAUGGUGCUGAACGAUGGAGAAAUCGAGGAGAUAAAGGAGAACAACAUGCUGAGGGCGGAUAAGGCUCGCCAACUUAUUGAUAGUGUGCGCAGGAAAGGCAACACAGCCA